GACAGAGGGUGCAAACGUUGUUCGGAAUUACUGGGUGUAAAGCGCGUGUAGGCGGCUAUGCAAGUCGGAUGUGAAAAUCCAGGGCUCAACCCUGGACCUGCAUUCGAUACGGGCAGACUAGAGUUCGGUAGGGGAGACUGGAAUUCCUGGUGUAGCGGUGAAAUGCGCAGAUAUCAGGAGGAACACCGGUGGCGAAGGCGGGUCUCUGGGCCGAAACUGACGCUGAGGAGCGAAAGCGUGGGGAGCAAACAGG
rnacentral:rRNA from 1 species